rnacentral:misc_RNA from 1 species
CGCGGCGGGUGUCUUAGUGAAUUUGUGGGAGGCUUUGGUGAUGGUGGAACGACACGUUCCCUUGAUGGAUCUUCACCAGCUGUGGAGUCAGAUCUGGAGAAGUUGCGUUUCGGAGCAGUGGAUUGAUGAAUAUCCUUUGAAUUACUAGUGGAUGUAUGAGCAGCAUUUUGGGGCUCUGGAAUUUUCAGGUUUUCAGAAUUCCACCUCCGCUGUCUCUUUACGGAUUCAUUUCCAACCACUGCUUGAUCAUGAAGCCUUCUUUUUUCAGCAGGCAAAGAUGAAACGUCAUUCUCUAUAUCAAUAUUCUUUUUGUCUGCAGUUGAGCCUCGCACUG